CCAGGAGUUUGAGACCAGCCAGGACAAUAUAGUGAGACCUCAGCUCUACAAAAAAAAAUCAACUUGGCAUGGUAGCACACACCUCUAGUCCCAGCUAUUUGGGAAGCUGAGGCAGGAGGAUUGCUUGAGCCCAGGAGUUUGAAGCUGCAGUGAGCUAUGAUCGUGCCACUGUAUUCCUGCUUGGGCAACAGAGGAAGACCCUGUCUCAAGAGAAGCAAAACAACAGAACAAAAAUAAGCAUGAUGUUUUCUUAGUUUGAAAAGCCAGUCACUAAGGUAACCUACAAGACAAAGCCCCAACAUCAUAGAUGGAGUUGAUGUCCUCCCUCUCCGCUUCCCACACGUCUUUGGAGUUUCAUUACUGAUACGUUACACCAAGUCUCAGCCCCCUGUUCAUGCCGUGGAUUAUCCCAGCUGUAUCCUCAUUUUAAACAUCUCUCUCAUGGAGAGUGCUGACUGGCUACCUUCGCCUGGCCAAAUCCUGCCACCUUUGACUUCCUCCUCAAAGCCCACAUUUCCCAUAAUUUGUCCCUAAUUUAUCUAGCUCAGAAUAAUUACUGUCCCAUGAACUCCUAUAGGAUUUAGGAAAGAACUGGGUCAUGCACUCAGUCUCACGCGGCUUUGUGCUGUCUCUGGGAUGUUCUUGUUUGUUUCCAUGUUUUUCUGGUUUGUUGUCUCUUCAGCUGUUCUACAAUGUGUAGGUCAUAAAUCCUGAGAACCACGGAUUAUCACUGUGUCAUCCACAAUGCAUAUUAUAAAUUGAUUCAUAAAGCAGGGUUUAAUCCAUGAUUAUCCAACUGAAAUGGACAUUUGGGGAUCAUGGAUGGGGAAACAGCUCAUGCAGUCAGCCCUGGAGGGUGAUGUGUCAUCCAGAGGCCACCAGGAACACGCCUGUAACCCAGCAAAGUUGAGGCCAUUGUCUGGUUCAUCACAAGAAGGAAGGCUUUGCACCAUUGGGGCCCAGCAGCAGCUCAGCAGCAGUGAGAGGGCCUUGGGAAAGACUUGGAGGGUUUGGCUUAUAUAAGGUGAUCCUGGGGAGGGUCAAGGAAACAGGUUGUGAUGGUUAAUACUGACUGUCAACUUGAUCGGAUCGAAGGAGGCAAAGGAUUGUUCCUGGGUGUGUACGUGGGAGAGUUGCCAAAGGAGAUGAACAUUUCAAACAGUGGAUUGGGAGAGGCAGGCCCACCCUCAAUGUGGGUUAGCACCAUCUAAUCAACUGCCAAAGCAGCUAGAAUACAGCAGGCGGAAGUUGGAAUCAGCUGACUUGCUGAGUCUUCCAGCCAUCAUCUCUCUCCUGUGCGGGAUGCUUCCUGCCCUUGAGCAUCAGACUCCAAAUUCUUCAGCUUUUGGAUUCUUGGACUUACACUAGUGGUUUGCCAGGGGCCCCCAGGCUGAAGACUGUACCAUCUGCCUUCCUACUUUUGAAGUUUUGGGACUCAGACUGGCUUCCUGGACUGAAGACUGUACUGUCUGCUUUUGAAGUUUUGGGACUCAGACUGGCUUCCUGGCUCCUCAGUUUGCAGACGGCCUGUUGUGAGACUUCACCUUGUGAUCAUGUGAGCUGAUUCUCCUAAUAAACUCCCCUUCAUAUAUGCCUCUAUCCUAUUA
rnacentral:lncRNA from 13 species